GAUGAACGCUAGCUACAGGCUUAACACAUGCAAGUCGCGGGGCAGCAUGGGGGUUGCUUGCAACUCCCGAUGGCGACCGGCGCGCGGGUGAGUAACGCGUAUCCAACCUGCCCUUCACCACGGGAUAACCCGGCGAAAGUCGGACUAAUACCGUAUGUUGUCCAUUGACGGCAUCCGAUUUGGACGAAAGGCUUUGCGGUGAAGGAUGGGGAUGCGUCCGAUUAGCCAGACGGCGGGGUAACGGCCCACCGUGGCUACGAUCGGUAGGGGUUCUGAGAGGAAGGUCCCCCACACUGGAACUGAGACACGGUCCAGACUCCUACGGGAGGCAGCAGUGAGGAAUAUUGAUCAAUGGGCGUAAGCCUGAACCAGCCAAGUAGCGUGCAGGAUGACGGCCCUAUGGGUUGUAAACUGCUUUUAUGCGGGGAUAAAGUGGCCCACGUGUGGGCUUUUGCAGGUACCGCAUGAAUAAGGACCGGCUAAUUCCGUG
rnacentral:rRNA from 1 species